rnacentral:rRNA from 2 species
GCUGGCGGCGUGCCUAAUACAUGCAAGUCGAACGAGUUCUCGUUGAUGAUCGGUGCUUGCACCGAGAUUCAACAUGGAACGAGUGGCGGACGGGUGAGUAACACGUGGGUAACCUGCCCUUAAGUGGGGGAUAACAUUUGGAAACAGAUGCUAAUACCGCAUAGAUCCAAGAACCGCAUGGUUCUUGGCUGAAAGAUGGCGUAAGCUAUCGCUUUUGGAUGGACCCGCGGCGUAUUAGCUAGUUGGUGAGGUAAUGGCUCACCAAGGCGAUGAUACGUAGCCGAACUGAGAGGUUGAUCGGCCACAUUGGGACUGAGACACGGCCCAAACUCCUACGGGAGGCAGCAGUAGGGAAUCUUCCACAAUGGACGCAAGUCUGAUGGAGCAACGCCGCGUGAGUGAAGAAGGCUUUCGGGUCGUAAAACUCUGUUGUUGGAGAAGAAUGGUCGGCAGAGUAACUGUUGUCGGCGUGACGGUAUCCAACCAGAAAGCCACGGCUAACUACGUGCCAGCAGCCGCGGUAAUACGUAGGUGGCAAGCGUUAUCCGGAUUUAUUGGGCGUAAAGCGAGCGCAGGCGGUUUUUUAAGUCUGAUGUGAAAGCCCUCGGCUUAMCCGAGGAAGCGCAUCGGAAACUGGGAAACUUGAGUGCAGAAGAGGACAGUGGAACUCCAUGUGUAGCGGUGAAAUGCGUAGAUAUAUGGAAGAACACCCAGUGGCGAAGGCGGCUGUCUGGUCUGUAACUGACGCUGAGGCUCGAAAGCAUGGGUAGCGAACAGGAUUAGAUACCCUGGUAGUCCAUGCCGUAAACGAUGAAUGCUAGGUGUUGGAGGGUUUCCGCCCUUCAGUGCCGCAGCUAACGCAUUAAGCAUUCCGCCUGGGGAGUACGACCGCAAGGUUGAAACUCAAAGGAAUUGACGGGGGCCCGCACAAGCGGUGGAGCAUGUGGUUUAAUUCGAAGCAACGCGAAGAACCUUACCAGGUCUUGACAUCUUUUGAUCACCUGAGAGAUCAGGUUUCCCCUUCGGGGGCAAAAUGACAGGUGGUGCAUGGUUGUCGUCAGCUCGUGUCGUGAGAUGUUGGGUUAAGUCCCGCAACGAGCGCAACCCUUAUGACUAGUUGCCAGCAUUUAGUUGGGCACUCUAGUAAGACUGCCGGUGACAAACCGGAGGAAGGUGGGGAUGACGUCAAAUCAUCAUGCCCCUUAUGACCUGGGCUACACACGUGCUACAAUGGAUGGUACAACGAGUUGCGAGACCGCGAGGUCAAGCUAAUCUCUUAAAGCCAUUCUCAGUUCGGACUGUAGGCUGCAACUCGCCUACACGAAGUCGGAAUCGCUAGUAAUCGCGGAUCAGCACGCCGCGGUGAAUACGUUCCCGGGCCUUGUACACACCGCCCGUCACACCAUGAGAGUUUGUAACACCCGAAGCCGGUGGCGUAACCCUUUUAGGGAGCGAGCCGUCUAAGGUGGGACAAAUGAUUA